CCUACGGGUGGCAGCAGUGAGGAAUAUUGGUCAAUGGGCGCGAGCCUGAACCAGCCAAGUAGCGUGAGGGAAGACGGUCCUAUGGAUUGUAAACCUCUUUUGUCGGGGAGCAAAAGGCGCCACGCGUGGCGUUCCGAGAGUACCCUAUGAAAAAGCAUCGGCUAACUCCGUGCCAGCAGCCGCGGUAAUACGGAGGAUGCGAGCGUUAUCCGGAUUUAUUGGGUUUAAAGGGAGCGAAGGCGGAAGUGAAAGUCAGCGGUAAAAUUGUGAGGCUCGACCUAUUCAAGCCGUUGAAACUGGUAGCCUUGAGUGCGUGAGAGGGAUGCGGAAUGCGUGGUGUAGCGGUGAAAUGCAUAGAUAUCACGAAGAACUCCGAUUGCGAAGGCAGCAUACCGGCGCUCAACUGACGCUGAUGCACGAAAGUGUGGGUAUCGAACAGGAUUAGAUACCCUUGUAGUC
rnacentral:rRNA from 1 species